GGAUUUUGCAGAUGUGAUUAAGUUAAGGGUUUGAGAUGGGAAGAUCAUCCUGCACUAGCAGGGUGGGCCCAGUGUAGUCACAAGGCUUAAAAGAGGAAGAUUGG